rnacentral:rRNA from 1 species
AGAGUUUGAUCAUGGCUCAGGAUGAACGUUGGCGGCGUGCCUAAUACAUGCAAGUCGAACGGAGAUCGUAGCAAUACGGUCUCAGUGGCGAACGGGUGAGUAACGCGUGGGUGACCUGCCCCGAAGUGUGGGAUAACAGUCCGAAAGGAUUGCUAAUACUGCAUAAUAUCCAAGAGAUUAGAUGCUUUUGGAUUAAAGGAGUAAUUCGCUUCGGGAGGGGCCCGCGUCCCAUCAGCUAGUUGGUAAGGUAAUGGCUUACCAAGGCGAUGACGGGUAGGGGACCUGAGAGGGUGGCCCCCCACAAUGGAACUGAAACACGGUCCAUACACCUACGGGUGGCAGCAGUAGGGAAUAUUAGUAAUGGGCGAAAGCCUGAACUAGCAACGCCGCGUGUGCGAAGAAGGCCUUCGGGUUGUAAAGCACUUUUUGAGAGGAUGAGGAAGGACGGUACUCUCAGAAUAAGUCUCGGCUAACUACGUGCCAGCAGCCGCGGUAACACGUAGGAGGCAAACGUUAUCCGGAUUUACUGGGCGUAAAGCGCGUGUAGGUGGUUUGGUAAGUAGGGCGUGAAAGCUCCUGGCUCAACUGGGAGAGGACGUUCUAAACUGCCAAGCUUGAGGAUGGUAGAGGGAGGUGGAAUUCCGGGUGUAGCGGUGGAAUGCGCAGAUAUCCGGAGGAACACCAGUGGCGAAGGCGGCCUCCUGGACCACUCCUGACACUCAGACGCGAAAGCUAGGGUAGCAAACGGGAUUAGAGACCCCGGUAGUCCUAGCCCUAAACGAUGUAGACUUGGCGUCGGUGGUUUAAUCGCCAUCGGUGUCGUAGCUAACGCGUUAAGUCUACCGCCUGGGGACUACGGCCGCAAGGUUAAAACUCAAAUGAAUUGACGG